UCACCCUUCAAGCCUCCGGCUUGGUGUUAGACGGCUUGGUUUUGGUGAUAAGACCCCUCUUAAAAUUAAUAACGGCGGCCUGUGCGACCUCCGGUACACUGAGCUUCUUAACUGAGUACGUAUCGGUCUUAGGGUAGAUAGGACUCGGUCUUUCUUCCUUAACCGGAAAAUUUUUCUAUAA
rnacentral:misc_RNA from 1 species